UACGUAGGGGGCAAGCGUUGUCCGGAUUUAUUGGGCGUAAAGCGCGUGUAGGCGGCUAGGUAGGUCUGCUGUGAAAACUCGAGGCUCAACCUCGAGAUGUCGGCGGAAACCAUCUGGCUAGAGUCCGGAAGAGGAGAGUGGAAUUCCUGGUGUAGCGGUGAAAUGCGCAGAUAUCAGGAAGAACACCUAUGGCGAAGGCAGCUCUCUGGGACGGUACUGACGCUGAGACGCGAAAGCGUGGGGAGCGAACAGG
rnacentral:rRNA from 1 species